rnacentral:rRNA from 1 species
AUUGAACGCUGGCGGCAUGCCUUACACAUGCAAGUCGAACGGCAGCACGGGGCAACCUGGUGGCGUGUGGCGAACGGGUGAGUAAUGCAUCGGAACGUACCUUUCAGUGGGGGAUAACGUAGCGAAAGUUACGCUAAUACCGCAUAUUCUGUGAGCAGGAAAGCAGGGGAUCGCAAGACCUUGCGCUGAUUGAGCGGCCGAUGUCAGAUUAGCUAGUUGGUGCGGUAAAGGCUCCCCAAGGCGACUAUCUGUAGCGGGUCUGAGAGGAUGGUCCGCCACACUGGAACUGUGACACGGUCCAGACGCCUACGGGAGGCAUCAGUGGGGAAUUUUGGACAAUGGUGGCAACCCUGAUCCAGCCAUGCCGCGUGAGUGAAGAAGGCCUUCGGGUUGUAAAGCUCUUUCGGCCGGGAAGAAAUCGCACGGGCUAAUACCCUGUGUGGAUGACGGUACCGGAAUAAGAAGCACCGGCUAACUACGUGCCAGCAGCCGCGGUAAAAC